rnacentral:lncRNA from 10 species
GACAGGCAUCUCCAGCACUGAAGCACCUCUGCCUCACCGUCACUUAUGGAGCACCAAAGCAUUUGGAUAAAGACCGUUAUAGGAAAUUGGGGGGGAAAUGGCUAAGAGAGAACAAUUCGUUUACAAUUACAAGAUAUUAGCUAAUUUUGCCAGGGGCUGUUAUAUACAUAUCUUCAACCAAGGUGUGAUCUGAAUUUAAUCCACAUUUGGUGUUGCAGAUGAGUUGUAAAGCCAACUGAAAGAGUUCCUUCAAGAAGUUCCUCUAACAGGAAGCUAGAAGUGUGGAAUGAAGUUUUACUUGAAAGAAGGACCUUUACAUGGCAGCUAACAAUGCUUUUUUGCUGACCGGGAUUGGUUUAUAUGAUUAAAUUAAUAUUUGCUUAAUAAUACACUAAAAGUACAUGAACAAUGUCAUCAAUGCCACUUAAAAGUGAGAAAAAAGAAUAUAUACAUAAUUUCUGAUGGAAAACCUGUACCCUGAUGCUGAAUAAUUAAUGUAUGUUGAAUGUGGUCCCAGAUUAUUUCUGUAAGAAGACACUCCAUGUUGUCAGCUUUGUACUCUUUGUUGAUACUGCUUGUUUAGAGAAGGGUUCAUAUAAACACUCACUCUGUGUCUUCAACAGCAUCUUUCUUUCCCCAUCUUUCCAUUUUCUGCACCCUCUGCUUGUUCCCUCAUAUUCUGUUCUUCCGACUCCUGCUAACACACACGCAACAAAAAAGGGAAGUGAGUGCUUAUUUCACCUUGUGUAAGGACUGUGAAAUCAUGAUGUCAAAUAAACAUGGUGAAACAUUAAAAAAAAAAAAAAGAAGGCUCCAAGUCCAUCUUUUAAAGCUGGUCUUUUAAAUCUGGUGAGAGGCACUGAGGGAGAAGAGGGGAGACAUGGA